rnacentral:rRNA from 13 species
GACUCUCGACAACGGAUAUCUCGGCUCUCGCAUCGAUGAAGAACGUAGUGAAAUGCGAUACUUGGUGUGAAUUGCAGAAUCCCGUGAACCAUCGAGUCUUUGAACGCAAGUUGCGCCCGAAGCCGUUAGGCCGAGGGCACGUCUGCCUGGGCGUC